rnacentral:lncRNA from 1 species
AUCAGACUUGUGAGAAGUCUUAUAAGUAAAGUUGAGAGUGAUUGAAGAGUGUAAAUAAUAUUUUACUCAUUAAGAGGGCAUUCUGAUUUUCUAAGGCAACAACAUCUUCUUGUUGAUUUUGAGAGUUCAUUCUUCUCUUUUCUUGAUUUUCUUUGAUUCACCCCUUCCUUAGACAUGGUUGCAAGUGAGGGUGAGGGUUUGAGAGUAAUUGAGAAGUUUAAGGGUGGCAACUUCUACCAUUGGAAGAAGAAAAUGGAGCACUUAUUGGCUUCAUUAGACCUUUGGGAUAUUGUUGAUGAAAGUAAAGACCCUCUAAGUGACGAUGGUGAUGUGAAGGUGAAGAAGGAGUACAAAAAAUAUGAAAGGAAG